GUGGGGAAUAUUGCGCAAUGGGCGAAAGCCUGACGCAGCGACGCCGCGUGAAGGAAGACGUACUUCGGUAUGUAAACUUCUAUCAGCAGGGAAGAAGAUGACGGUACCUGACUAAGAAGCCCCGGCUAACUACGUGCCAGCAGCCGCGGUAAUACGUAGGGGGCAAGCGUUAUCCGGAUUUACUGGGUGUAAAGGGAGCGUAGACGGUGAAGCAAGUCUGAUGUGAAAACCCGGGGCUCAACUCCGGGAUUGCAUUGGAAACUGUUUUACUUGAGUGCUGGAGGGGCAAGCGGAAUUCCUGGUGUAGCGGUGAAAUGCGUAGAUAUCAGGAAGAACACCGGUGGCGAAGGCGGCUUGCUGGACAGUAACUGACGUUGAGGCUCGAAAGCGUGGGGAGCAAACAGGAUUAGAUACCCGGGUAGUCC
rnacentral:rRNA from 1 species